rnacentral:tRNA from 1 species
UCCAGCAUAGCUCAAUGGUAGAGCAAUCGACUGUUAAUCGAUCGGUUGUAGGUUCGAGUCCUACUGCUGGAG